AUGAACGCUAGCGGCAGGCUUAACACAUGCAAGUCGAGGGGCAACACGGGUAGCAAUACCUGGUGGCGACCGGCGCAAGGGUGCGUAACGCGUGAGCAACAUGCCCUAUACGAGGGGGAUAAUCCAGGGAAAACUUGGUCUAAUAUCCCAUAGUAUUUAGAGGUGGCAUCACCACUAAAUUAAAGCUUCGGUGGUAUAGGAUUGGCUCGCGUGACAUUAGCUGGAUGGUGGGGUAACGGCUCACCAUGGCGAUGAUGUCUAGGGGUUCUGAGAGGAAGACCCCCCACACUGGGACUGAGACACGGCCCAGACUCCUACGGGAGGCAGCAGUGAGGAAUAUUGGACAAUGGAUGGAAAUCUGAUCCAGCCAUGCCGCGUGCAGGAAGACGGCCCUAUGGGUUGUAAACUGCUUUUAUAUGGGAGCAAUAAGGUUUACGCGUAGACCGAUGAGAGUACCAUAUGAAUAAGCAUCGGCUAACUCCGUG
rnacentral:rRNA from 1 species